GUAGCUCCCAAUCACGCAGGCUUUAUACUUUGGGUAGAUCAUAGAUUUACGAUCCCGUGAUCGGCAUAUGGCAUUGCAAGAACUGAGCAACAGUUACCAGCACGCAUCACAAUAAAUUGAAGGCUACUCGCUGACUUCACAGAGACACAGCCAUACAAGCUCUCCAAUUCUCGUAUUUUGGGCUACGGUUUUCACCGCUCUCGAGAUUUUUCUUUUCCUUUUAUUUUUCUAUGUAAGUUCAUUUCUCUAUCAUGAGCUUAUUGGUACUCUCUAGAGACCCAGAGAGCUGCGAAAUCACCGUGGACGAUGAAGAACCGGUGGAUUACUCGUGGUUUUGACGGACUUCUCAUCAAGAACCCCAGGACACUGCCUAGGGUUUCUUUGUUUGAGACGACUGGGAGCCAAUGAUUUGAUCGGUUGACUUGUUGAGUCACCAUGGAAAGUUUGAGUGAAGAAGACGAUCAGUUUUUUGAAGCCUGUGAGGACAUCGGAUCAUCAUCCGAUUCGAGCUCUGACUGCCUGGAGAAUUUAGAUUCUGAUUGUGGGGUAGUUGAUUCUUUGCCUGUUAGUACUAAUUAUGAGGUUUGGAUUAAGAAUCUGGGCAGCUUUCAUGAACGACGCAAUAAAUUUCUCAAAUGGAUGGGUUUGAAUGUGGAUGAGACCAGGGUUGAUCCUGGCAAUACAUCUUCACAGGAAGCAGAAGUUGAGACUGAUAGAAUGACAGAACAUAGUGGUACGGUUCUAAGAUCAUCAAAUUUUGAUGAUAGGUUUUCGUCAAACCAUUCUUCCAUGUCAUGUUGUUCCAGUGAUACCGACUUGAUAGAUGUAGUGUUGGAGGAGAAUUUCAUUUGUAGAAUUAGGAAUUUGGAUGAUGGAACAGAGUUCAUUGUGGAUGAACAUGGGCAUGAUGGUUUGUCAGGGAGGAUACGUCAAGUGGGCUCGAACCGAUUACUUACUGUUGCAGAGUUUGAGAGGAGUCUAGGAUUAUCCCCUCUGGUUCAGCAAGUGAUGCGGAGAGAAGCUGAAGUAGCAUCCAAUUUUAGGGCGGGAAGAAAGCAGGUGAAGAUGGGAUGGUUAAAGAGAUUAGGUGCUGUUGCUUGUGUUGUUGAUAGGCAAGUGGAAGCGGGAGAUAUUGAAGACAACGAACCCUAUCCUGUUGCAAGGUCUAGGGCUCGAACUCAAAUGGUUAGAGUUCGGUCAUAUAAGAAGCAGUUCAAGGAAUUUUCUGCUCUUUAUAUGAGACAAGAUAUUCCGGCCCAUGAAGGUUCUAUUUUGACAAUGAAGUUCAGUCCUGAUGGCCAGUACCUUGCAAGUGCUGGUGAAGAUGGAAUUGUGCGUGUAUGGCAGGUGAUGGAGUUAGAGAGAUCAGAUGAGUUUGGCAUGCUUGAUAUUGAUCCUUCACAUGUAUAUUUCAAAAUUAAUAAUCUUUCUGAAUUAGUUCCUCUUCACGCUGAUAAAGAGAAAAAGGGUAAACUCAAGAAUCUGCGAACAACAUCAGACUUGGGUUGUGUUGUCUUUCCUCAGAAAGUAUUUCGAAUAUCAGGGAAACCAAUCCAUGAAUUUUAUGGGCACUGUGGAGAGGUGUUGGACCUUUCAUGGUCAAAGAAUAAGUAUCUCCUGUCAUCUUCUACUGAUAAGACUGUUCGGUUGUGGAAAUUGGGCUGUAAUCAAUGCCUGGAAGUCUUUUCCCACAAUAACUAUGGUGUGGUUUUUAUUGUUUUGGUUUUUCUCCAAUGAUUUGUGCCUUGUUUUUUGUAUUCAAGUGCCUGAUUGUCUGUUGCAGGCAUUUUAAUUUGUAUCCCUAUUGAUUGGUUUGUCUUCAUGCUACCUGUAAUACAGUUACAUGUGUCCAGUUUAAUCCCAUGGAUGAUGAUUCAUUCAUCAGUGGUUCCAUUGAUGGGAAAGUACGCAUCUGGGCAAUUCCUGGUUGUCAAGUUAUUGACUGGACUGAUGUUACAGAAAUUGUUACAGCUGUUUGUUAUCGAUCUGAUGGAAAGGGUAUAGUUGUUGGCUCCAUGACUGGCAAUUGUCGAUUUUAUGAUGCGACUGAUAAUCGUCUGCAGCUGUGUACACAAGUAUGCUUACAGGGUAAGAAGAAGUCAUCAUUCAAGAGGAUAACUGGCUUUCAGUUUUCCCCCAGUGAUCCAACCAGAUUAAUGGUUACUUCUGCUGAUUCACAAGUCCGUAUCCUCAAUGGGGUUGAUGUGAUAUGCAAAUAUCGAGGGAUCCAUAAUGCAGGAAGUCAAAUAUCUGCAUCCUUUACACCAGAUGGGACGCACAUUAUUUCAGCAAGUGAGGAUUCUAAUGUCUAUGUCUGGAACUAUACUAGCCAGGAUGGGUCUGUGCCUCAUGUAAAGAAAAAUUGGGUGUGUGAGCGCUUCUUCUCAAACAAUGCAUCAGUUGCUAUACCCUGGUCUGGGAUCACAUGUGGGAAUAUUUCCUCAAAUAUAUCUGGGACAACGAUGUCAUUCACGAACUUGGGGCAAUGUAAUGAUGAAAAAAUGUUGGUGCAUUGUGAGCUGGGCGAGAGUUCAGAAUUCAAAUUGCCAUUUUCUUCGCCUGAUCAUUUCUCACUGAGCCAAGGAUUUUUCUCUGAGUCUGUACCCAAGGGUUCUGCAACCUGGCCAGAGGAAAACCUUCCUUCAAGCUCACUGGGAAUAUCAUCAAAAAUGUGUAAAUCCCAUUACAAGUUUUUGAAAGCAUCUUGCCAGACCAUGCAUGGUUCUCCUCACGCUUGGGGUUUGGUAAUUGUAACAGCUGGCUGGGAUGGAAGGAUCAGAUGGUUCCAGAAUUAUGGAUUGCCAAUUCGUGUUUAGAUAUGUCAAGUUUCAGCAGAUCACGAGGGAUUAUUUCUUUGAAAACUUUGCCAUUCUUUGGCAACACUCAGGUUUGCAUUAUUUUUUCUGCAGCCUUGUCAAUUGAGUGUGGGAGCCAACGCCAAGCUGAAUCUGCAUCCAUGGCCAUGGCAGGUCCUGUGCUGUAUAGUGUACACGCAUAGGCAGUGGUCAAGAUGUUAAAGAAAUCUUGGUUGUGUCUGGGAGAAGAAGAAUUUUAGGCACGCAAAUUAAAUUGUACUUUUACCCAGCAUCACUAGUGUACAUACCAUUCUUUAAUUUAUUUGCUUGGCAGUAUGGUGGCUGCUUACCCAAUCUGAAUUGCAGAGUUUUGUGGACGGUCAGGGGGGAGUUGAGGUUUGUGGGUGUAUGUUGGAGUUCCAUUUUUUGGUGUGGGUGGGGAGAAAUUAGCACUCGCCGCUGGAAUUGAAAGUUGACAGACUUGAAGGAUGGUAGGCACAUUCAAAUGAUUUCAUCCGUCUCUUUCUUAUGAUAGUUGCAUUUGGUUUUCUGAUUUUACUAUCAUUAACCCAAUUUAAGCAUCUAGCUUGGAAAGGGUUACGUUGUUGGAAGAUACUAGAAUUUGGCCAUCUCAAGCGAGCCUCCAGCCUUGCAAGGAAGGCAGGGCGUUCCAAAUCUGUCGUAAGCCUUUUUUUGUUUUUUUCUCAAAAAAGAAAUUUCCUUUGGGCUUCGGGUGCUUUGUCACAGUGGUUCAAUUGCAAACAAAAAGGAUAUUUUUGUAUUAGAUCUGGUGUAUCAUUUUCAAGUGUAAUGUACUUCUGAAAAAGAAAUUUCUCAUAUUCAUGUACUUGUGGCUUCGACGUAUGGCAUUUUGAUGUGAAUGCUUGUUACUGACACUCGUUAAUGGGUGCUGACAUGUAAGCAUAAACAACUGCUAAGUAGUGGUCGUGUAAAAUAUAAGAAAACUACUUUAC
rnacentral:misc_RNA from 1 species